GACAGAGGAUGCAAGCGUUAUCCGGAAUGAUUGGGCGUAAAGCGUCUGUAGGUGGUUUGACAAGUCUUUGUCAAAGAUCAGGCUUAACCCUGGGCCGGCAAGAGAAACUAUCAGACUAGAGUUCGGUAGGGGCAGAGGGAAUUCCCGGUGGAGCGGUGAAAUGCGUAGAGAUCGGGAGGAACACCAAAGGCGAAAGCACUCUGCUGGGCCGCAACUACACUGAGAGACGAAAGCGAGGGGAGCAAAUGGG
rnacentral:rRNA from 1 species